rnacentral:tRNA from 1 species
GGGGAUGUGGCUCAGUGGUAGAGCUCUUGCCUUCCAUGCAUGAGGCCCUGGGUUUGAUCCAUAGCACCCCA